CUCAUACUCCCUCCAUCCGAAAUACUUGUCAUCAAAAUGGAUAAAAGGGGAUAUAUUUAGAUACAUCCCCUUUUAUCCAUUUUGAUGACAAGUAUUUCCGGACGGAGGGAGUACUAA
rfam:Triticum aestivum genome assembly, contig: Triticum_aestivum_CS42_TGACv1_scaffold_130477_2BL